rnacentral:rRNA from 1 species
AACGAACGCUGGCGGCAGGCUUAACACAUGCAAGUCGAACGCCCCGCAAGGGGAGUGGCGCACGGGUGAGUAACGCGUGGCUAUCUGCCUUUUGGUUCGGAAUAACCCCGGGAAACUGGGGCUAAUACCGGAUGGUUCCUACGGGAUAAAGAUUUAUCGCCAAAAGAUGAGUCCGCGUACGAUUAGCUAGUUGGUGAGGUAAUGGCUCACCAAGGCGACGAUCGUUAGCUGGUCUGAGAGGACGAUCAGCCACACUGGGACUGAGACACGGCCCAGACUCCUACGGGAGGCAGCAGUGGGGAAUAUUGGACAAUGGGGGCAACCCUGAUCCAGCCAUGCCGCGUGAGUGAUGAAGGCCUUCGGGUUGUAAAGCUCUUUUGGCGGGGACGAUGAUGACGGUACCCGCAGAAUAAGCCCCGGCUAACUUCGUG